CAAAGUAGGACUUGAAAUCAAGUACAUCAGUGCUGUAAAAGGUCGUGGCAUCUUCACCUCUGUUCCAUUUGAAAAGGGAGACUGUCUGUUGGAAUACAGAGGUGAGCUGAUAACUAAGCAAGAAUGUGAGAGGAGACAGAGAAUAUACCAUGACCUCCUCAAAGUGUUAAUGUUCAAGUUCAGUUUUGAUGGAAAACUGUGGUGUGUUGAUGCAGCAAAAAAGAAUGGAUCGUUUGGCAAACUUGUAAAUGACGACCAUAUAAACCCUAAUGCCAAGAUGAAGUACAUCGCUAUGCAAGGGAAGCCCCAUCUCUGCUUGUUUGCAGUUGGAGACAUAAAUCCAGGAGA